CCCAGGGCGCGCCAUCGACCGAACCUGAUGUCUUGGGAUGGAUUGGAGUAUGAGCCCGGCUGGUCGGACCCGAAAGAUGGUGAUCUAUACGUGAAUAGGUAUGUUUUAACUGCGAUUUUCUCAUCUAAUAUUGUAAUGCUAACUUUUGAAUAGGGUGAAGCCAGAGGAAACUCUGGUGGAGGCUCGCAGCGGUUCUGACGUGCAAAUCGAUCGUCAAAUUUGCGUAUAGGGGCAAAAGACUAAUCGAACCGUCUGGUAGCUGGUUCCUGUCGAAGUUUCCCUCAGGAUAGCAGUAGCGAGUAAACAGUCUCAUUAGGUAGAGCGAACGAUUAGAGGCCUUGGGGUUGAAACAACCUUAACCUAUUCUCGAACUUCGAAUAUGUGAGAAGUCCUUGUUGCUUAGUUGAACGCGGACAUUGGAUGUUCGUAUUGUCCCU
rnacentral:rRNA from 1 species